ACGGCUCAGUAACACGUGGACAACCUACCCUUAGGUCGGGGAUAAACCCGGGAAACUGGGUAUAAUACCCGAUAGGUCUCGACUGCUGGAAUGCAUCGAGACCGAAAGCUCCGGCGCCUAAGGAUGGGUCUGCGGCCUAUCAGGUAGUAGUGGGUGUAGCGUACCUACUAGCCUACGACGGGUACGGGUUGUGAGAGCAAGAGCCCGGAGAUGGAUUCUGAGACGCGAAUCCAGGCCCUACGGGGUGCAGCAGGCGCGAAAACUUUACAAUGCUGGAAACAGCGAUAAGGGGACCUCGAGUGCCAGGUUACAAAUCUGGCUGUCGUGAUGCCUAAAAAGCAUUGCAUAGCAAGGGCCGGGCAAGACCGGUGCCAGCCGCCGCGGUAACACCGGCGGCUCGAGUGGUAACCGUUAUUAUUGGGUCUAAAGGGUCUGUAGCCGGCCGGAUAAGUCUCUUGGGAAAUCCAGCAGCUCAACUGUUGGGCUUUCAGGAGAUACUGUCUGGCUCGAGGCCGGGAGAGGUGAGAGGUACUUCAGGGGUAGGGGUGAAAUCUUGUAAUCCUUGAAGGACCACCAGUGGCGAAGGCGUCUCACCAGAACGGACCUGACGGCAAGGGACGAAAGCUAGGGGCACGAACCGGAUUAGAUACCCGGGUAGUCCUAGCCGUAAACGAUACUCGCUAGGUGUCGGCCACGGUGCGACCGUUGUCGGUGCCGUAGGGAAGCCGUGAAGCGAGCCACCUGGGAAGUACGGCCGCAAGGCUGAAACUUAAAGGAAUUGGCGGGGGAGCAC
rnacentral:rRNA from 1 species